UGUUCUACAGUGAGUUCUGAGUAUCCUGCACCGCCCUCGAGGACCUGCAGGGGGCGCGCGAAGCCAGCGUGUCUUAGGUGGCGGUGCGCAUACGCAGUCCGCGUCAGCAGCCAGCAUCUUCCCUGGGGGCGGAGCUUGUUUUCCUCAGGACUGAGCGGGCGGCGCCAUGGAGGCUCCAGGACAGCGCUGCCUGCGUGUCCGCGGGAGGAGGACGCUCCCCGCCCACUGUCUGAAGUUACGCCGGUUUCCCACUGCCUGCGCCCGCUUCCUGCCGGGGUGUGUGUGGACCUGACCGAGCUGGGGCCCCGGCCGGCUGGGCAGGAGGGGACGGGUGCGCUGGCGGGCCCGCUUCGACUAUUCUCCUCGCCCGCAGGGAGCCGAUUGAAUCUGACUGAGACAUAACUUCGAUGAGAUCACACUGCUAUUAAACCUGCCCCAGAUACAUAUGCACUGGCUUGAGGACCAGCAUAUUGAAGGAACUUGAAAAUGGAAGACCACCUCCACCCUACUGCCCUCUUCAACAGAAAAGCAAUGGGACUGGUUCCUGACAUUGUGCCCUGUGGAGCUGUCAUUACAGCUUAAUCAAUCCACUCACCAGAGAACUCGACAUAUCACAUCACACGUCUUAAGACUAUUUAGGAUGAUGGCACACAUUCCAAGCCAUCUUUAUGAUUUCCUUUUUGGUGAUCUCCUCCUGUUGAAAAGUAAAAUGUCCUCCCAAAAGUUGUUUUCUGAC